rnacentral:rRNA from 1 species
AAGUCCUACGGGAGGCAGCAGUAGGGAAUCUUCCACAAUGGACGGAAGUCUGAUGGAGCAACGCCGCGUGAGUGAAGAAGGGUUUCGGCUCGUAAAGCUCUGUUGGUAGUGAAGAAAGAUAGAGGUAGUAACUGGCCUUUAUUUGACGGUAAUUACUUAGAAAGUCACGGCUAACUACGUGCCAGCAGCCGCGGUAAUACGUAGGUGGCAAGCGUUUUCCGGAUUUAUUGGGCGUAAAGCGAGUGCAGGCGGGUUCAUAAAUCU